rfam:Gossypium hirsutum cultivar TM-1 chromosome 1, whole genome shotgun sequence
AAACCACGCAUCGAGCAUUUUCUGAUUAACUCCUUGAAUCACUCACAUGCUUCAUAUUAUAUUUCGUCCUCAGCUUAUCGAAAGGACAAAAUAUCGUUCCUCAGUUU